rnacentral:rRNA from 1 species
GACGAACUGUCCUAACGUUGUUCGGAAUCACUGGGCUUAAAGGGCGCGUAGGCGGUCCGUCAAGUCAGGGGUGAAAUCCUGCAGCUUAACUGUAGAAGUGCCUCUGAUACUGACGGUCUUGAGGGAGAUAGGGGUGUGCGGAACUUCCAGUGGAGCGGUGAAAUGCGUUGAUAUUGGAAGGAACGCCGGAGGCGACAGCGGCGCACUGGAUCUCUUCUGACGCUGAGGCGCGAAAGCUAGGGGAGCAAACGGG